CUUAGUCGAAAGAGGCAUGGAUGAAGGGGACAGUUAUUUGGCCAAAUUUUUAAAAAUUUUUAAAGAUGAUAAUUCGACUGGACCAACUGUAUAUUGUUCAAGUGUUUCAUCUUAAAAAAAAAUAAUGAAGCUACAUCUACAUUUGAAUAAAAUGUAUUUUAUUAUAUAAAUAUAAAUAAUCAACUUUUAAUUAUGAUUCUUAAAUGGAAGACAAUUUGUA